rnacentral:siRNA from 1 species
UUGUUGUCGGUGCCAAUCAUAC